ACCUGUUGAAUUUAAGCAUAUCAGUAAACAGUGGAAAUGGAUCCAAAUGGGUGCAUGCUAGUAAUGGCGAAUGAAAGCAUGAUGGAUCAUGGAUUAAAUCUUUGUGCUUGGCACAAUGAUGUGUACUGUUUGAUCUGGAUGUCAACUUGUUCUCAAGAGGAAGCUGGUUGGGAAACAGUUCCAUUGGAUGUGAUAGGCCUUUCCUUCUUGCAGCACUUGUUGCCGACUCUGGCAUGAUGAGUCACAUUCCUUGGCAUUGGAAUGCAAAUGUGGUGGUAAACUUCAUCAAAGGACUUGUAUAUGACUGAUAUUCAUACUGUGCAAGUACCGUGAGGGAAAUAUGAAAAGGACUUUGAAAAGAGAAUUAACAGAAUCUGAAUUUGCUGGGAUGUAAGCAAGCAGGGUAGGGGUCCAGGAUAGUUUUGUGGGCAAUUGUCCCCAUUGGGGUUCAUUUACUCAUGACAAUCUGGAAGUUUGCUGUUGUAUGUAUGGAUGCUACAUGCACAGUUCAUGGAUAUGUAAACAUGUAGAAUGUGUUGUGCACCUGGCAUUCUUGCUUCAUUUCCGAGAUCACUCACAUGGUUCACGCCUGACCUUGCAGCUGUCAUUGGUGUGCAUGUUGUGUGAAUAUGUCUCUUGCAUAUGUUUCUUUGCUUGACCCGUCUUGAAACACGGACCAAGGAGUCUGGCAAGGUUGCUAGUGGGUAGGAUCCAUACCUUUCAGCAAUAAAUGUGAUUGUAGUAUUUUGCCAUCACCAAUCAAGUCACAAGCAGUUGUAACUUUGAAUGUGAGCAUGCUUGCCAGGACCCGAAAGGUGGUGAACUAUGCCUGAUAAAAAUAAAGCCAGAGGAAACUCUGGUGGAAGUUUGUAUCGAUACUGACGUGCAAAUCGUUCGUCACACCUGGUAUAGGGC
rnacentral:rRNA from 1 species